rnacentral:rRNA from 1 species
UACGUAGGGUGCGAGCGUUGUUCGGAGUUACUGGGCGUAAAGGGUGUGUAGGCGGUUGUUUAAGUUUGGUGUGAAAUCUCCCGGCUCAACUGGGAGGGUGCGCCGAAUACUGAAUGACUAGAGUGCGGGAGAGGAAAGUGGAAUUCCUGGUGUAGCGGUGAAAUGCGUAGAUAUCAGGAGGAACACCGGUGGUGUAAACGGCUUUCUGGACCAUAACUGACGCUGAGGCACGAAAGCGUGGGUAGCAAACAGG